rnacentral:rRNA from 1 species
UACGGAAGGCAGCAGUGGGGAAUAUUGCACAAUGGGCGCAAGCCUGAUGCAGCCAUGCCGCGUGUAUGAAGAAGGCCUUCGGGUUGUAAAGUACUUUCAGUCGUGAGGAAGGUGUUAAGGUUAAUAACCUUAGCAAUUGACGUUAGCGACAGAAGAAGCACCGGCUAACUCCGUGCCAGCAGCCGCGGUAAUACGGAGGGUGCGAGCGUUAAUCGGAAUUACUGGGCGUAAAGGGCACGCAGGCGGUUAAUUAAGUUGGAUGUGAAAUCCCCGGGCUUAACCUGGGAAUGGCAUUCAAGACUGGUUAGCUAGAGUCUUGUAGAGGGGGUAGAAUUCCAUGUGUAGCGGUGAAAUGCGUAGAGAUGUGGAGAAUACCGGUGGCGAAGGCGGCCCCUGGACAAAGGACUGACGCUCAUGUGCGAAAGCGUGGGGAGCAAAC